rnacentral:rRNA from 1 species
GAUGAACGCUGGCGGCGUGCCUAAUACAUGCAAGUCGAGCGAACAGACGAGGAGCUUGCUCCUUUGACGCUAGCGGCGGACGGGUGAGUAACACGUGGGUAACCUACCUAUAGGACUGGGAUAACUUCGGGAAACCGGAGCUAAUACCGGAUAAUAUUUCGAACCGCAUGGUUCGAUAGUGAAAGAUGGCUUUGCUAUCACUUAUAGAUGGACCUGCGCCGUAUUAGCUUCUUGGUAAGGUAACGGCUUACCAAGGCAACGAUACGUAGCCGACCUGAGAGGGUGAUCGGCCACACUGGAACUGAGACACGGUCCAGACUCCUACGGGAGGCAGCAGUAGGGAAUCUUCCGCAAUGGGCGAAAGCCUGACGGAGCAACGCCGCGUGAGUGAUGAAGGUCUUCGGAUCGUAAAACUCUGUUAUUAGGGAAGAACAAACGUGUAAGUAACUGUGCACGUCUUGACGGUACCUAAUCAGAAAGCCACGGCUAACUACGUGCCAGCAGCCGCGGUAAUACGUAGGUGGCAAGCGUUAUCCCGGAAUUAUUGGGCGUAAAGCGCGCGUAGGCGGUUUUUUAAGUCUGAUGUGAAAGCCCACGGCUCAACCGUGGAGGGUCAUUGGAAACUGGAAAACUUGAGUGCAGAAGAGGAAAGUGGAAUUCCAUGUGUAGCGGUGAAAUGCGCAGAGAUAUGGAGGAACACCAGUGGCGAAGGCGACUUUCUGGUCUGUAACUGACGCUGAUGUGCGAAAGCGUGGGGAUCAAACAGGAUUAGAUACCCUGGUAGUCCACGCCGUAAACGAUGAGUGCUAAGUGUUAGGGGGUUUCCGCCCCUUAGUGCUGCAGCUAACGCAUUAAGCACUCCGCCUGGGGAGUACGACCGCAAGGUUGAAACUCAAAGGAGUUGACGGGGACCCGCACAAGCGGUGGAGCAUGUGGUUUAAUUCGAAGCAACGCGAAGAACCUUACCAAAUCUUGACAUCCUUUGACCCUUCUAGAGAUAGAAGUUUCCCCUUCGGGGGACAAAGUGACAGGUGGUGCAUGGUUGUCGUCAGCUCGUGUCGUGAGAUGUUGGGUUAAGUCCCGCAACGAGCGCAACCCUUAAGCUUAGUUGCCAUCAUUAAGUUGGGCACUCUAAGUUGACUGCCGGUGACAAACCGGAGGAAGGUGGGGAUGACGUCAAAUCAUCAUGCCCCUUAUGAUUUGGGCUACACACGUGCUACAAUGGACAAUACGAAGGGCAGCGAAACCGCGAGGUCAAGCAAAUCCCAUAAAGUUGUUCUCAGUUCGGAUUGUAGUCUGCAACUCGACUACAUGAAGCUGGAAUCGCUAGUAAUCGUAGAUCAGCAUGCUACGGUGAAUACGUUCCCGGGUCU